UACAGGGGGGGCAAGCGUUGUUCGGAAUUACUGGGCGUAAAGGGCUCUUAGGCGGCCAACUAAGUCCGACGUGAAAUCCCAAAGCUUAACUUUGGAGCUGCGUCGGAUACUGGAUGGCUUGAAUUCGGGAGAGGGAUGCAGAAUUCCAGGUGUAGCGGUGAAAUGCGUAGAUAUCUGGAGGAAUACCGGUGGCGAAGGCGGCAUCCUGGACCGACAUUGACGCUGAUGAGCGAAAGCUAGGGGAGCAAACGGG
rnacentral:rRNA from 1 species